GACGAACGCUGGCGGCGUGCCUAACACAUGCAAGUCGAACGGAAGGGCCUCUUUCGGGGGGUACUCGAGUGGCGAACGGGUGAGUAACACGUGAGUAACCUGCCCUUGACUUUGGGAUAACUUCAGGAAACUGGGGCUAAUACCGGAUAGGAGCUCCUGCUGCAUGGUGGGGGUUGGAAAGUUUCGGCGGUUGGGGAUGGACUCGCGGCUUAUCAGCUUGUUGGUGGGGUAGUGGCUUACCAAGGCUUUGACGGGUAGCCGGCCUGAGAGGGUGACCGGCCACAUUGGGACUGAGAUACGGCCCAGACUCCUACGGGAGGCAGCAGUGGGGAAUAUUGCACAAUGGGUGGAAGCCUGAUGCAGCAACGCCGUGUGCGGGAUGACGGCCUUCGGGUUGUAAACCGCUUUCGCUCAUGACGAAGCUUUGUGUGACGGUAGUGGGUAAAGAAGCACCGGCUAACUACGU
rnacentral:rRNA from 1 species